UUGCUUCGCCUGAGGCACCCUUUUGCUUACAUAACUGAUGUUAUGUGUAAUGAACUUUCCAGGGUUUGUAGGCCUUUCUGGUGGAUAACCAGUUCAAUUUAUGCUGAAAUUAACGUAAGGAAAUUGGUGUGGUUCACAGAGGAUGGCAUCUGUGGAGGAGGGUUUAUGAUUUAUACCUCG